GACGAGGUGGCCGAGUGGUUAAGGCGAUGGACUGCUAAUCCAUUGGGUCCCAUCCUCGUCG
rnacentral:tRNA from 1 species